GCAAGUCGAACGAGAAAGCUUCCUUCGGGAAGCGAGUAGAGUGGCGCACGGGUGAGUAACGCGUAGGUAAUCUACCCUUAUAUUUGGGAUAACAUUGGGAAACUGGUGCUAAUACCGGAUACCCUUCUUUGCUGCGGGGCGAAGAAGGAAAGGUGGCCUCUUCAUGAAAGCUACCGUAUAGGGAUGAGCCUGCGUACCAUUAGCUAGUAGGUGAGGUAACGGCCCACCUAGGCAACGAUGGUUAGCGGGUCUGAGAGGAUGAUC
rnacentral:rRNA from 1 species